rnacentral:rRNA from 1 species
CCUACGGGCUGCAGCAGUGGGGAAUAUUGGACAAUGGGCGAAAGCCUGAUCCAGCCAUGCCGCGUGUGUGAAGAAGGCCUUCGGGUUGUAAAGCACUUUCAGUGGGGAAGAAAGCCUUGGGGCUAAUACCCUCGAGGAAGGACAUCACCCACAGAAGAAGCACCGGCUAACUCCGUGCCAGCAGCCGCGGUAAUACGGAGGGUGCGAGCGUUAAUCGGAAUUACUGGGCGUAAAGCGCGCGUAGGCGGUCUGAUAAGCCGGUUGUGAAAGCCCCGGGCUCAACCUGGGAACGGCAUCCGGAACUGUCAGGCUAGAGUGCAGGAGAGGAAGGUAGAAUUCCCGGUGUAGCGGUGAAGUGCGUAGAGAUCGGGAGGAAUACCAGUGGCGAAGGCGGCCUUCUGGACUGACACUGACGCUGAGGUGCGAAAGCGUGGGUAGCAAACAGGAUUAGAUACCCGAGUAGUC